GAUGAACGCUAGCUACAGGCUUAACACAUGCAAGUCGCGGGGCAGCAUGGGGGUUGCUUGCAAUCCCCGAUGGCGACCGGCGCACGGGUGAGUAACGCGUAUCCAACCUGCCCUUCACCACGGGAUAACCCGGCGAAAGUCGGACUAAUACCGUAUGUUGUCCAUUGACGGCAUCCGAUUUGGACGAAAGGUUUGGCGGUGAAGGAUGGGGAUGCGUCCGAUUAGCUGGACGGCGGGGUGACGGCCCACCGUGGCGACGAUCGGUAGGGGUUCUGAGAGGAAGGUCCCCCACACUGGAACUGAGACACGGUCCAGACUCCUACGGGAGGCAGCAGUGAGGAAUAUUGGUCAAUGGGCGUAAGCCUGAACCAGCCAAGUAGCGUGCGGGAUGACGGCCCUAUGGGUUGUAAACUGCUUUUAUGCGGGGAUAAAGUGGCCCACGUGUGGGUUUUUGCAGGUACCGCAUGAAUAAGGACCGGCUAAUUCCGUG
rnacentral:rRNA from 1 species